GACUGAGACACGGCCCAGACUCCUACGGGAGGCAGCAGUAGGGAAUCUUCCGCAAUGGACGAAAGUCUGACGGAGCAACGCCGCGUGAGUGAUGAAGGUUUUCGGAUCGUAAAGCUCUGUUGUUAGGGAAGAACAAGUGCGAGAGUAACUGCUCGCACCUUGACGGUACCUAACCAGAAAGCCACGGCUAACUACGUGCCAGCAGCCGCGGUAAUACGUAGGUGGCAAGCGUUGUCCGGAAUUAUUGGGCGUAAAGGGCUCGCAGGCGGUUUCUUAAGUCUGAUGUGAAAGCCCCCGGCUCAACCGGGGAGGGUCAUUGGAAACUGGGAAACUUGAGUGCAGAAGAGGAGAGUGGAAUUCCACGUGUAGCGGUGAAAUGCGUAGAGAUGUGGAGGAACACCAGUGGCGAAGGCGACUCUCUGGUCUGUAACUGACGCUGAGGAGCGAAAGCGUGGGGAGCGAACAGGAUUAGAUACCCUGGUAGUCCACGCCGUAAACGAUGAGUGCUAAGUGUUAGGGGGUUUCCGCCCCUUAGUGCUGCAGCUAACGCAUUAAGCACUCCGCCUGGGGAGUACGGUCGCAAGACUGAAACUCAAAGGAAUUGACGGGGGCCCGCACAAGCGGUGGAGCAUGUGGUUUAAUUCGAAGCAACGCGAAGAACCUUACCAGGUCUUGACAUCCUCUGACAACCCUAGAGAUAGGGCUUUCCCUUCGGGGACAGAGUGACAGGUGGUGCAUGGUUGUCGUCAGCUCGUGUCGUGAGAUGUUGGGUUAAGUCCCGCAACGAGCGCAACCCUUGAUCUUAGUUGCCAGCAUUUAGUUGGGCACUCUAAGGUGACUGCCGGUGACAAACCGGAGGAAGGUGGGGAUGACGUCAAAUCAUCAUGCCCCUUAUGACCUG
rnacentral:rRNA from 1 species